AAAAACAUAGCUUUUUGGAUUUAUAAAAAGUGCUAUCUGCCCGGUGACUUAACUGUUUAACGGCCGCUUAUGUGCUAAGGUAGCGUAAUAAUUUGUCUUUUUAUUGGAGACUAGUAUGAAUGUUGUAACGAGGCUUAUCUGUCUCUUGUUAUUUAUUUAAAAAUUAAUAUGCAAGUGAAAAAGCUUGUAUCUUUGUGAAAGACGAGAAGACCCUAUAGAGUUUUAGUUAAGUGUUGUAAAUUUAAGGUUGGUUAAUUAUUAGUUUUUUUUACGGUUACAGGCUUUUACUGGGGCAGUAUAAGAGCCGGUUAAAACUCUUAUUAAAUAUUUUUAUGAUGGUAAAAGUAGGAUCCUCAAAGAGAAAGAAAAAAAACUACCUUAGGGAUAACAGCGUUAUUCUACCAGAGAGGUCUAAUCGAAGGUAGGGUUUGCGACCUCGAUGUUGGACUAAGAAUACUUUAAGGUGAAGAAGCUUUAAAAUGUAAGCCUGUUCGGCUUUUAAUUUCUUACAUGAUCUGAGUC
rnacentral:rRNA from 1 species